rnacentral:rRNA from 1 species
GACGAACCGUGCGAACGUUAUUCGGAAUCACUGGGCUUAAAGCGCGUGUAGGCGGAUCGGCACGUCGGCUUGCUGAAAGCCCCCGGCUCAACCGGGGAAGUGGCACCGAUACGACCGGUCUGGAGGGAGGUAGGGGGAGCCGGAACUUCCGGUGGAGCGGUGAAAUGCGUUGAGAUCGGAAGGAACGCCCGUGGCGAAAGCGGGCUCCUGGACCUCGUCCUGACGCUGAGACGCGAAAGCCAGGGGAGCGAACGGG